GGGCGAUUAGCUCAGUCGGUUAGAGCGCCUGCCUCACAUGCAGGAGGUCGUUGGUUCGAGUCCAAUAUCGCCCA
rnacentral:tRNA from 1 species